GCUUGCUGUAAACAAAAUGUUAGGCAUAAUGUUAGGUUAGUGUCAGGAUCCCACAGUCUUCCCAUACUUCCUGCUGAUUCCACACUUCUGUUUUGUCUACAUAAA